rnacentral:rRNA from 1 species
GACGAACGCUGGCGGCGUGCUCAACACAUGCAAGUCGAGCGGUAAGGCUCCUUCGGGAGUACACGAGCGGCGAACGGGUGAGUAACACGUGAGUAAUCUGCCCUUCACUUCGGGAUAACCACCGGAAACGGUGGCUAAUACCGGAUACGACCAGUCUUCGCAUGAGGUGCUGGUGGAAAGUCUUUUCGGUGAAGGAUGUGCUCGCGGCCUAUCAGCUUGUUGGUGGGGUAAUGGCCUACCAAGGCUUCGACGGGUAGCCGGCCUGAGAGGGUGACCGGCCACACUGGGACUGAGACACGGCCCAGACUCCUACGGGAGGCAGCAGUGGGGAAUAUUGGACAAUGGGCGAAAGCCUGAUCCAGCAACGCCGCGUGAGGGAUGACGGCCUUCGGGUUGUAAACCUCUUUCAGUACCGACGAAGCGCCCUGUCGGGUGGUGACGGUAGGUACAGAAGAAGGACCGGCCAACUACGUG